rnacentral:misc_RNA from 1 species
AUGUCUUUGUCCACUUUCCCGGUGAUCUGCUCAACUCCGAUCUGGCGAUUGAUUUCGGGAGCUGAAAAAAUGGAUCAGGGGAGGCAGGUGUUCACAGUGGAUCUUCUAGAGAGAUAUUGAUCUUUCUGGGGGUCGACCUGGGGAGCCAUCUAUUCACUGAGUGUUUGUUGAUCCUGGUGGGAGCCACUGUAUUGCUACUGUGGUUGGUAGUGGAGGAGCUGAGACUUAUUAUACUCAUGCAAAGUGGAGCAAACCUCGUGUUCUAAGCAAAUUGAAAGGUCUUGUUAUUAAUGCUGUUGCUUGGAAUAGACAACAGAUCGCUGAAGCUUCCACGAAAGAAGUUAUUCUGGGCACAUACCGCGGUCAACUUCAUGAGAUUGCAGUUGAUGAGAAGGAUAAGGGGGAGAAGUAUACAAAGUUUCUGUUUCAAUUAACCGAACUUCCAGAAGCUUUCAUGGGCUUGCAGUUGCCUCUUGGAUGAAAUUGUACAACUCCAACUAAAAAGUUGUAGUUAUUAUGUGUGCGGAUGGAAACAGCCAACUUAAGCAACGGAGCAAGAUAUUAUGUGAUGGCUGUUACUCCUACACGACUUUAUUCAUUUACUGGAAUUGGAAUACUAGAGGUAUGUUUAUUGCCAAUACCUGUUCCAUAUACUGAAUCUUUGAACUGCAAUGAGCCUAUUGAAACCAUUAAUUAUGUAUGUUUCUCUUGAGAAAUUUCUGACAUUUGUUGAUUGGAAAUUUCCUGCCAUUUGAUAAACUCUCAGUGAACUACAUUUCUUUAUCAAGCAAAGAAGAGCUGUGCAUUUUGCAUGGCUUUCUGGAUCAGGUAUCUAUCAUGGUGGCCCAAAUUUUGGAGCGCAGCAUAGGUUUCACCUUUUCUUUUCUUCACUAUUUGUUCAUAUAUGCAGUUUAUUAGUCUCAGUGUUUUGUCAAGAUGUAGUUCUUUUAUAAAAUCUUUUAUUACUGUUGUUUAUGGGAAACUUCUUUGGUAGUUAUCCAAAUGCAGAUGACACUUUUGAGGAGAACAAGGCUCUCCUGGACUAUGCAAAACUAAGAGAAGGUGCUGAUGCAGUGAAGCCAUCUUCUAUGGCAGUUUCUGAAUUUCAUUUCUUGCUUCUUAUUGGAAACAAGGUUAAGGUUGUGAACAGAACUAGUAGCAAAUUAUACAGGAACUUCAGUUCGAUCAUACAUCUGAAUCAGUUUCAAGGGAUAUUAUUGGAUUAUGUAGUGAUGCCACUGCUGGCUUGUUCUAUGCAUAUGACCAAAAUUCUAUAUUUCAGGUGUCUGUUAAUGACAAAGGCCGGGACAUGUGGAAGGUGUAUCUAGACAUGAAGGAAUAUGCUGCAGCUUUAGCAAAUUGUCGUGAGCCACUACAAAGAGACCACAUAUAUCUGUUGCAGGUGAUUUCAAAAGAACCUAGUGGCAAGGAAAUUAAAGGCUGUUUUAUUUAUAAAAAUUGGCUAAGUUCUAGUUUCUAAUAAAUAGUUUCAAAAGUAUGCCACCUUAAAGUUCAGAUGCAUCUAUUAGAAGAAGCUUUACAGAACUUUUCUUGCAUCUGGAAUUGUAUAACUAGAGUGGUUUCUGAUGCAGGCAGAAGCUGCAUUUGCCUCCAGGGAUUUUUUUAGAGCAGCAUCUUUAUAUGCAACAGUAAUUCCUUGUUUCUUAAUUUUAGUUCUUAACAUCUUUCUUUCAUUAUGUCAAUGUAUUCAUUUAUUUGUGUAUGUUGUCAUUAUUGAAUUUCUCUUCUUGUAACUUAAUGUUAAUGAAUUAUCUCUGAAUGCACAGUUGACUUUGUGUAUACAUGCCUAAACUCAAUCCUCUCCUUUCCCUCGCUUUUGCUGUUUUGCACGUUGACAUCCUCAAUUUGGUCUCUUGGGACAAUCAAAGAUGAUAUAAGUCAUAAGUAUUGUGCAUAAAAAAAUAGUCUACUUAACAGUUCAUUAUUGAAGCAUGAAGGCAAGAAGCUUUGUUUAAAAGAACUGCUGCUGCUAUUCUUUAUUAUAAGUACAACUGUCAGGUUUCAAAUGAUAUUGUAAAUGUAGUAAUGACAAAGUAUAAAUGUUUUUGCCGGGUAGCUGGGAGGGGGCAUUGAAGUAUUAGCUCCAAUUGAGAUUUUGAAGUGGUUAACCUUUUCUCCCCCUUUUUUGCAAGACAAACUUUAGUUGAUGGGAGCUGUUCUGCAGGUUAAUUAUAUAGUAUCAUUUGAGGAAAUCACUCUGAAGUUUAUUAAUGCAUGUGAACAGGUAAUUGCAGCAUCAUUCACGUUUUCAGUAUAAUUUGUAUGUUAUUGCAAAUGUAUAAAGUGUGUAUGUUUCUUCCAUAUUCUAUAAUAUUUUUACAGUCUAAAUAUUACAUAAAGCUAAAUUAGAGCUUGAUAAGGAUGUUGAUAUCAUGAAUUGUUUAAUGAUCCUCUAGUUUUUCCAAAUUGGUAUCAUGGUGAUCAUUUUUGCAAAUUGUGAGCAAAAUUUCAUGUUUAUUUUUGGAUUCUAACUAUUGUUAGCUAUAGAACACUCUUUACUUACACAUAUUAGCACUUGACAAAAAGGUUGAUGCGUAUUAAACUUAUGAUCUUAAUUCUCAUUAUAAAACUCAUUAUAAAAUUAAUGAACAUAGUCUCUGGGACUGCUAAAGAAGGAGGAUUGAAUCAUGCAUAGAUGUUUUUUAACUGAAAUGCUUUUGUUUGGAAUUUGCAUAUGCUCGUGUGCUAUUUGUUGCUCAAUUUGCUUACUUGCAGGAUGCUUUGAGAACUUUCUUAUUGCGGAAACUAGACAAUCUUGCAAAGGAUGAUAAAUGCCAGAUAACAAUGAUUUCCACGUGGGCAACUGAAUUAUACUUGGACAAGGUUUUAUUUCUUUCCAUGCAUUACUUUUGAUGAGUAAUCUGGUUACCAGUUUGAUUUGUUCCGCUCUCUGUAUGCUGAAUGGCAUUGUAAACGUGGAAGAUGUUCCUGGCACAAGAAUAAAAAUUGAUUAGGUUUGAUUUGUUGGAUCCUACAGCACCAGGACAUUGAGCCAAUUUUUUCUUCAACUUUUCAAUUUCCAUUUGCAUGUCUACAUCAAUGAAAACUUCAAAAGAAAUUAAUUGCUGAAAUUACAUCAGAAUACAUGAGAUUGCAAAGGUGCACCUUUUCUUCUUUUUAUAUUUUUUUGGGCAUAGCUUUUUAUGUUGAAAUUUUAUGCAAUUAGACAUUAUGCUUCUUGGAUGGAAACCAUGGCAUUUACUGUAAACUUCUUUUCUUUCUGUUUUCCACAUUAAAAGCCUGUGCAUACCAAGCAAUAUGAGAUGAUUUUUUCUAGAAUGUUAAACAAAAAUUAGUAUAAAAGCAUCAAGAAACUCAGGUAAACAAUCUUACACAUUUUGGGACAUUCCUUAAUUACUUGCUUCAUUUAUUGUACUCUCUGUUGUAUAUUUUACAAAACAUUAGAAACUUCAGUUGCUGCGUAAACUGUAUCGCAUGAGGGUGUGAAUUAUUCUGAUUCUGAAGGCAUUUUCUAAUUGGUUCAAGAAACUAAGCCACUGUAAUUGAUAUCUUGUAGUGAAUUUAACAUUAUAUUUUAUAUAUGUGUGUGUAUAUAUAUAUA